rnacentral:rRNA from 1 species
GACGAACGCUGGCGGCGUGCUUAACACAUGCAAGUCGAACGGAGUGGCGAACGGGUGAUUAACACGUGGGUGAUCUGCCGUGCGCUUUGGGGUAAGCUUGGGAGACUUGGUAUAAUACCGGAUAGUGCAAGAUGAGCUGGGGGCCAAUUGGCUUGUUGGUGGGGUAAUGGCCUACCAAGGCGUCGAAGGGUAGCCGGCCUGAGAGGGUGUACGGCCACAUUGGGACUGAGGUACGGCCCAGACUCCUACGGGAGGCAGCGGUGGGGAAUAUUGCACAAUGGGCGGAAGCCUGAUGCAGCGACGCCGCGUGGGGGAUGAAGGUCUUCGGGUUGUAAACUCCUGUCGACAGGGACGCGGUACCUGUAUAAGAAGCACCGGCUAACUACGUGCCAGCCGCCGCGGUAAUUC